UACGAAGGGGGCUAGCGUUGCUCGGAAUGACUGGGCGUAAAGGGCGCGUAGGCGGCGCAUUUAGUCAGGCGUGAAAUUCCUGGGCUCAACCUGGGGACUGCGCUUGAUACGGGGUCGUGCUUGAGGAUGGAAGAGGCUCGCGGAAUUCCCAGUGAGAGGUGAAAUUCGUAGAUAUUGGGAAGAACACCGGGUGGCGAAGGCGGCGACCCUGGGUCCUUGACUGACGCUGAGGCGGCGAAAGCCGUGGGGGAGCAAAACAGGG
rnacentral:rRNA from 1 species